AUUACCGUGUUCCGGCUCUAUUGGGUUGGGACUUCGGGAUGGGUCCGGUGGAAACGUCCGGGCGAGGAUCGAGUCGAGGGCAAGUCUGGUGCCAGCAGCCGCGGUAAUUCCAGCUCGACGAAGGAACAUUAAAUUUGUUGCAGUUAAAAAGCUCGUAGUUGGGAGUCUUUCUUGUUACCUAUGGCGUUGCUGGGGGUCCGCAAGGUCUCCCGGCCGACGCCGCAAGAAAUGGAGGGCGUGGACUCUCUUGCUCCGCAAGGAGGAGGGGAAGGGAAGCGCCCGCAGUUACUGUGAACAAAACGGAGCGUUUGUUGCCGGCUUUCAAGCCUGAACGACUCGCACGGAAUAACGCCCCUUCCGUCCUCGGAAGCGGAGCGCUGGCUGUCUCUCUCGAGACGAGGUUAACAGGAACCGUCGGGGGUAUUCGUACCGCGGUGUCAGAGGUGAAAUUCUUGGAUUACCGCGUGACGGACGACUGCGAAGGCAUUUACCAAGGAUGUUUUCAUUAAUCAAGAACGAAAGUUUGGGGAUCGAAGAUGAUUAGAUACCAUCGUAGUCCAAACCGUAAACGAUGCCGACUCGGGAUCUCUUUUCUUCUUUUUUAGUGGGAGAAGGGGCACCGCACGGGAAACCAAGUCUCACGGUUCCGGGGGAAGUAUGGUGGCAACGCUGAAACUUAAAGAAAUUGACGGAAGGGCACACCAGGAGUGGAGCCUGCGGUUCAAUCUGACCCAACACGGAGAAACUUACCAGGUCCGGACUUCGGGAGGAUUGACAGUCUGAGCGAGCUUUCUUGAUUCGAAGGGUGGUGGUGCAUGGCCGUUCUUAGUUCGUGUUGUGAAAUGUCUGGUCGAUUCCGAUAACGAACGAGACCGGGGUUGCUUUUUCGGUUGGGUUUUCCUUGUGGAAAGCUUGGACGGGAAGAGCGAGACAACCUUUGUUUAGAAGGGGGAGGCACCCGGCGAUGACAGGUCUGUGAUGCCCUUAGAUGUUCUGGGCUACACGCGCGCUAUAAUGGUUGGUUCAGUGGGUUUCUUUGGGGUGCCUCGGAAGGGGUGCCGAAUCCGUUGAAUGCCAGCCGUGAUGGGGCUAGAUUCUUGCAAUUAUUAAUCUUCAACGAGGAAUUCCUAGUAUGUGCGAGUCAUCAGCUCGCGCAGAAUGCGUCCCUGCCCUUUGUACACACCGC
rnacentral:rRNA from 1 species